rnacentral:lncRNA from 1 species
GGCGGGGCUGCUGGUUCGCCUGUGGCAGCCAUGACAGCUCUGUGAGGGGCGUGUGCGCCCAGCCCUGCAGGUGAGGAAGUUCACAGAGAAGUGAUAAGAAAAGGGCAGGGCUGGUGGCAUCUUCAAUCUGCGGUUCGAUUCGCGGAGGUUUAAUCCGGAGUUCUGCUUAUGUUUGGGCUGAGGAAGGGUCCUGUCACUUGUGUUGGUGCUGCCCAUACGAGCUGCAUGAGGCUGUCGUCAAGAGCACGAGAGGCACGCUGGUUUCUCUGUGGUUUCUCUCCUACAAAAGCAUUUCCUUGUGCUGUGUUUUGGUUUGGAAUACCUCAGUUAUUCAGGACUUUGUUAUUUUUCAGCUUCAGCAGCUCAAAACUAAGCGACAAAAGACAAUACACGUCCUUCAAAAUAAUUACUUCACCAGUUUGUGUUUAGCAGAAGUUCAAAAUAAUGACUUUAUUUAAUUACAAUAUGGGUAACGUUAGAAACAUCAGCUUUACAGCUCCCUGACUGAAGUAUCUCAUUAACAUGCACUGGUCCUCCAAGUGAGAGCUGUACCAGCUCUGAAGAACACAAACUUUACCAUCAGCUGAGCCUAGGAGAAGUAAGAAUAUUUUUAAGCCAAGUCUCUUGUGGGGAUAGACAGCAGCACGUUGUGAAGAAUGAUAUUCUCCAGCAGAAGAUCUGAUCCAGCAGUGGACACUACAAGGCAACUGUGAUUCUGAAUGGAUCAAAUAUGAAGAGCAAAAACAUAGAUUUAGAAAAGUUCAUCCACAAGAAAAGACCUAGAAAAUCCAAGCUUGUUUCAUCCAUGAAUGAGAACACUGCAGGGAUAAUGUGGCUGCUGCACAAAUGAACUGUUCUCAAUGCCUGUGGGAACAGGACAAACAGUAAUGGACUCAAAUAGCAGCAAGGCUCUAGGAGCUACUCCCGUUCACAAAAAAUAGAAGUCAAAAAGUACUGAUGCAAAACCAGAGAAGGCAGCACUUACCCUGUCAGCAGUGGCAUUGCUGAGGAUCAUCUCCAGAACACUGUUAUAGUACUUGGGGGAACACAGCCUAUAAGGAGCAACAUUCACAGCCACUGAGAGGGCCAGGCUUCGUCCAUGUCUCACCAUCCAGUCAAUUCCAGAGAUGUCUGCUAGAAAUGGCAAAAGAACUACCUCUAAGAAAGGCUACUGCAUCCAUGUGAGAAAGCAUUUGUCAGUUUGUCAACUCACUUCUAUAAAAGCAGCACUUAAAGCAGCAUCUUUCUCCUUCCAAAAGAGACAUAUAAACUGUACUAUAACACAAUACCUCUAUCAGAGAGGAAUUCUCUCUGGGCAGAUAUUGAAACCCAACACACUGACUUUAUACCAUAGAACUGGGUUUUUCUGAUGAUACAUGUAAUCACAC